GAACUAAGAAAUUCAAGAAUAAGCUUCUAACUUAAGUCUUAAGCGGCGCACCUCCGUUUUUAGUUCU
rnacentral:tRNA from 1 species